CUUAAGAAAAAUAACAAAUUUGCUAUGGUAUAAAUAAAAUAAGUAUAAUGACCAUUAGUCAUUUUGUAGGGAGACCUCUUUGUGAGUGUAGUCCCAUAUAUUUUAUAUACCUAUAAAAUACAACAAAAAAACCUUUUUUGAAAAAUGAAGGUAUCCUUUAUGUUGAUGUUACUUGUUAUUUUCGUUAUAUGUUUGUCAACUGAAGCAGAUCCAAAUCCGUUUUUUGAUAAACUUUUUAAUUUAGGCAGUAGUGAUGGAUAUAGCAACAGCAAUGGAUACUAUCCUUAUCCUUCAAGACCUAGGUCGUAUGGCAGAAAUUAUGAACAUGCUGAGACUGGAGCAGACAGGUAUAGAUCAAUCUGUAGAGUUCACGCUGUAGAUACAUUGGCAUUCCCUGGCAACGUUGGUAGACCAAUUUGCCCUUAAUUUUAAUAUACACAUAAGAAAAUACUUUUUAUUAUAAAAAAUAGUAAGAUAUUUAUAAAAAUGUCUCAACAUUGUUAUACUAGUCACUAAUCUUUGAUCCUUUUACUUUUGUAUUUUCCAAAUAAAACAAAUAUAAGUUUA